AUACCUUUCUCGGCCUUUUGGCUAAGAUCAAGUGUAGUAUCUGUUCUUAUCAGUUUAAUAUCUGAUACGUGGGCCAUUGGCCCACACAGUAUUAAAUUAAUUUUUUUUAGGGGGGAGAGGCCGCUACAGUAGCUUGCUGCUGGGCCUCUCGUGGGUCGCCUUGGUGUUGCACUAUAGCCUAGUCCUGGUCCACCCCAC